GACGAACGCUGGCGGCGUGCCUAAUACAUGCAAGUCGAGCGGACGGAUGGGAGCUUGCUCCCAGACCGUCAGCGGCGGACGGGUGAGUAACACGUGGGCAACCUGCCUGUAAGACUGGGAUAACUCCGGGAAACCGGGGCUAAUACCGGAUAACUCUUUCCCUCACAUGAGGGAAAGCUGAAAGAUGGCAUCUCGCUAUCACUUACAGAUGGGCCCGCGGCGCAUUAGCUAGUUGGUGAGGUAACGGCUCACCAAGGCGACGAUGCGUAGCCGACCUGAGAGGGUGAUCGGCCACACUGGGACUGAGACACGGCCCAGACUCCUACGGGAGGCAGCAGUAGGGAAUCUUCCGCAAUGGACGAAAGUCUGACGGAGCAACGCCGCGUGAGUGAUGAAGGUUUUCGGAUCGUAAAACUCUGUUGUCAGGGAAGAACAAGUACCGGAGUAACUGCCGGUACCUUGACGGUACCUAACCAGAAAGCCACGGCUAACUACG
rnacentral:rRNA from 1 species